UACGGAGGGUGCGAGCGUUGUCCGGAAUCACUGGGCGUAAAGGCGCGUAGGCGGCCUGAUAAGUAGGGGGUGAAAUCCUGCGGCUUAACCGCAGGGCUGCCUUCUAAACUGUCAGGCUAGAGCACAGUAGAGGCAGGUGGAAUUCCCGGUGUAGCGGUGGAAUGCGUAGAGAUCGGGAAGAACAUCAGUGGCGAAGGCGGCCUGCUGGGCUGUUGCUGACGCUGAGGCACGAAGGCCAGGGAGCAAACGGG
rnacentral:rRNA from 1 species